rnacentral:piRNA from 1 species
UCACUGUGUUUGAGGAACUGUGGGCCAGCU